rnacentral:lncRNA from 1 species
UGUACCGUUGUCAACUUUCGGGUCGGGCCGUUGAGGUUGUCAUCAUCCCCACGUACUUCGGCGCAAUAGGCGUUGUGUAUUUCGUGUCUUUCCUUCAAUUUCGGGUCGGGCCGUUGAGGUCGUCAUCAUCCCCACGUACUUCGGCGCAAUAGGCGUUGUGUAUUUCUUCCCCGGUGAUGGGGGAUAUUUCAGGAGACGGCUGAGUAGCUUCUGGGUCGCCUUCGAGCCAUCUCUGCUGAGUCCGUUCUGAAAGGCCGCAACUGCCAUGCCUUCUGACAUGUUAGGUAGGCUCAUUCUGACUCUGUUGAAUCUGGCUAGGAACUCCCUGAGUCCUUCUCCCGGGGUUUGACGCACAGCAAAAAUGUCGUUAACCCGUGAUUCCGCCUUCCUUGCUCCCG